UAUUUUAAAACAUCUUAUAAAUUUUAAGUUCGUUAUUAAUAUGUUUUUAAACACAUUCGAUUUAAUCAACCUUCGAUAAUAGCGGACACCAACUAUCUCCCGGUAGUUCGUUAAAUCGAGAGUUUACUGUAAUUUAUUUUGGAGCACUUGCAAUGUUCUUGAAAAAAUUAGCCUCUGUUUAGAGGUAACCGUUGUAGGAAGAUGAAAUUUAUUGGAUGUUUUGAAAUUAGUUUCAUUUUAUAAGUUUAUGAAAAAAAAGCAAGCGCUGGACUCUCCUGGUACUCAAACUGAAGGUUAAGGAAACCAGAAAGGAAGUCUAAUAAUUUUCAAUUAUACUAUGAAAUAAAAUUUAAAUAAUAAAAAUGUUAAAGG